AGUUUUUGUCUUUCUUUUUCAUAGAGUGAAAUUGGUUUAAUGUUUCAAAUUUUUUCAAUAGAUCCAGGCACUGCUACCAGAGAAAAAAUACCCUCUCUUCAGAUGCUGCUACCUUCCCUAGCUCAGCUGAAAUAGUUGUUGCUGGUGCAGGGGUAAUUGGAUCAUCUGUGGCAUAUCAUCUAGCAAAGUAUGGGAAGAAAGAUGUUGUUGUCCUUGAGCAAGGAAGCCUUGGGUGUGGUACAACUUGGCAUGCUGUUGGGCUCCUUGGGCUCCUACAUGCCAGCACAUUGCGUUACAAAAUGUCUGCUUAUAGCUUGGAUUUAUACUCUGAAUUGGAAAAAGAAACAGGCCUUGGAACAGGGGUAAAGUUGUGUGGGAGCGUGGCUGUUGCUAAAUCCAAAGAUAGGGCAAAACUUCUCAGGAGAGUCUUUGACCGAGCAAGGCAGAACGGUGUUGAAUGCGAGAUGAUAUCGCCUCGAGAAGCGCUGGAACUGUACCCUUUGCUCAAAAUCGAUGAUCUAGAGCUAGCAGUUUGGUCACCCAACGAAGGAGCCUGCAAUGCAAGCGAUGCAUGUGCGUCUUUGAUGAGAGGGGCCACUAACAAAGGUGUACGAUUCAUUCAAGGCGUUGGUGUGAAAAAUGUGGCCACUGAUGGAAAACGUGUUACUGGGGUUGAUACAGAUCAUGGUUUCAUACACUGUGAUAAAUUUGUUAACUGUGCAGGGCAGUGGGCAAGAGAACUUGGACUGCGUUCCGACACUCCGGUACAUUUGCCCCUACACUCCUGCGAACAUUUCUACACUGUUACCAAACCAAUGUCUGGUGUCCAUAGCAUGCUUCCAGUUCUGAGAGACGGCGACUCCUACAUUUACAUAAGAGAAUGGAGCGGGGGACUAAUGGCAGGAGGUUUUGAGCCCCAAGGAAAGCCUUGCUUCUAUGAAAAGGGUGUGCCUAAUAAAUUUGAGUUCCAGUUGCUACCAGAAGACUGGGAUCAUUUUGAUAUUCUCAUGCAAGGCAUGAUACACCGAAUUCCGUCGAUUGCAAAUGCUGAGAUUCGUCAAUUCGUCAAUGGUCCUGAGUCUUUUACAGAGGACGGUGGUUUUCUUCUUGGUGAAGUCCCGGAGAUCCAUAACUAUUUCGUUGCUGCAGGCAUGAAUUCUUAUGGUAUUGCGUCUGGUCCAGCUAUGGGAAAGUUGACUGCUGAACUAAUUGCUUAUGGCAAGAGCUCUUGGGAUAUAACAAGCUUUGAUGUUAAAAGAUUCAGUAAAGAACAAAGCAACAAGUUUUACUUAAGAAACCGAAUUGGAAACGUUUUAGGUCGAAGUUAUGCCAUACAGUAUCCUGAAACCCAAAUUUCAGCUGGUGGACCUUUGAAAACCUCGCCCCUAUAUGAUGUUCUUUCCCAAAAUGGUUGUCAGUGGAACAAAAUUGGUGGUUGGGAGAGAGCCAGCUGGUUCUCACCAGAUGGCAAAGAUCCUAUUCCAACGUUUGGGAAGCCUAACUGGAUAGAAUGGGUUGGAGAAGAGUACAAGGCUUGCAAGGAAAGUGUUGGGCUUGCUGACAUGACAUGGCAGAGUAAGAUCGAAAUUAGCUCAGAUUCAGCGUCACAAUUGGUAAGUGAGCUACAGUUCCUUUUUGCUGAAAAUAUCGAUAUAAAAACUGGGACUUUCGUAAACGCAUCGCUGCUGAAUGAGGAUGGCAAUUAUGUUGCAACUGCUAUUCUCUAUAGGAUAGCUGACAACAGAUAUUUUUGUGUGACGUCACCCAUCCAGCAGAACACGCUACUUUGGUGGUUUCACAAAAAUUGCAAAUCAGCGGAUGCAAUCAAAAUUGAUGAUGUUUCGUCGAAGUAUGCUUGUCUUGGGCUGUUUGGCCCAAAAUCAGACGAGCUCAUCAAGCAACUCACAUUAACGCCUCUUGACGAUUUUGCCAAAGGAGAACAUCAGUAUGUCAAUCUUGGGAAUGCUUCAGAUGUUUUGUUAUGUAGAGGUUUCCUCGAGGAUGAGAAUAACUGGCAAGCAUUUGUUCCUUCAGAGCUUUGCCGUGGCUUGUAUAAGAACGUCGUAAAGACUGGUAAAGUAAAGGACGUCGGUCAUACGACUAUAAACACUUUGCGAAUUGAAGCUGGUCUACCAGAGUUCGGUACUGAUUUCGGUGCAAUGACGUCACCAAUGGAAAUUGGGAGAUUAUCUGUUGAAAAGGAUUGUGAUUUCAUUGGAAAGAAGGCUUUGCAGAAUAAAGACUUUUCGAGUGACAGGUCUCUGUUCAAAUUGGUAAUUGAUGACAUUGAUGAUGACAACUGGGCUUGGGGUGGAGAGCCCGUUGAGGCUGCUGGAGAAAGUAUGGGAAAUUUAUCAUCUGUUGCAUUCAGCUUUUCCAAGAAGGCUCUGGUAGCAUAUGCACUCUUUGAUAAAGCAAAAAUUGAUAAUGCAGAGAGUUUGGUGGUGCGCAUUGCAGGCAGACCAAAAAGCUGCAGAAUAAUUUCGUAAAGUUGUUAUUUAAUUGAAUCGCAGAAACUGUUAAGAAAUUUUUAUUUUUAAGAAUAAAUUUAGAAUUUUUUUAAGGUAAUUGGAAAUUAGAUCGAAUUUAGUUGCUGAUUAGGUUUCAAUAUGAUAAUUUAUAGUUGUUUGGCCCAGAUGUGUAUACUGAUAAUAGCGUUUUACAAUAAAUUUCUUGAACAAAACAAUGUUUGUUAGGUUGACAAAAACUGAACCUGUGUACCAGAAUUUCUACGAUUCAGUUUCAGAAAAGAAAUUUAAAUUCAGUCUCAAGAGAACGACAACUUCUUUUUCGCCGCCGCAUCGGACUGUAGCGCGCCAUUACCGAUGUUUGUGGCUACCCAGGGUACAGAGCUCCCACUUGCAACAUAGUCUAUGUGAUUCUGCUUUUAUAAACAAGUAGAUCACGAGAGACGAACCACUUGCAUCGCUGACUGAGUAUAUUUGAUUCUAAUUUUGCUGCUCCAAAUUUCUCAAAGAUCGAUUUUUCAUACUUUUGUAUCCCUUUUGUUUAGGGUUGUGGGUUUUGCUAAUUUCUUUGUUCAUGUGAAAUAAUUAAUUUUACUAUCAAAAGUUUGCUUAAGCAUGGUAAAUGUCAAUCAUCAUGCUUAAGCAUCAUCAUGUUUUGAAUUAUUCAAGGUUAUCCUAAACCGGGUUUAUGAAAUUGAAGCUGAGUAUGGACGAUAAAUAAAUGCAUUUCUAUCUGAUAGGUAGUUUCCAGUACGCGUAAAAUAAUUUCAAUGCAUACAUGUCAAAGUUAUUAGUGAAGGGGACCUCUGACUUUUUUAAGACAACUUGAAAAUAAUCGACGACCGCAAACAUUAAAACUAAUUAUCGGCUUGUGAACUUCCAUCAACAUGGACUUCCAAACGUAAAAUUUUCAAAAUUGCCCCUUUUGUUUGUCUAAAAUACAAAAUGGCUCUUUGCUCUAAUUGUCUCGUUGCCAAAAAGAGGCUGUUUUCAAAAAGGAAAGUCGCGGGAAGCAAAGCGAAGAAUUUUGACGCUCGGAGAAAUGUUUCGAAAGUUUUUUGGAAGGACAGUGAUUAUGCUAGGAUCAUCUGCAGCUGCAGUCGGUUAUCUUGAGGCAUCUGGAAAUGAAUGGUUUUAUAAAAACGUUGCGAUGCAAUGUGUGCGGCAAAUGGACGCCGAAAAUGCCCAUGUUUUUGCAGUCAAGUGCGCCUCUAAAGGUUUUGUACCACGAGGAAAGGACAGGCCAAGUGACAUUCCGCUAAUGGUAAGAAGAGCAUUGCGACAUUUAAAAAAUGAAGUCAUGUAAGCCUUUGGUUCGAUUUACAAGAAAAUAAGAAGCAGUAUCACUUUAUGAAUGCCGUUCUGUGUUUGAUGUUUAAUUUAUAACACUUUCUGAAAAAUAUGGGUACCCUGAAACCCGGAGGAGACUAAUGGUUCGGCUUGGACUGGGUUCCAAUCACUUAGUUUUCAAUUUUGUCUCUUUUGUAGACCUCCCAAUCUGGCCACUACUUUAAUGUUCACAUGAACUAGGAAAAGUCUUGCAAAGUUUUAAAAUAACCUUUUUAGUGCAAGGAGAAUAGUAAAUUUUUUUACAUGAGAUAAGGAACCAAAAUACAAUGGCAAAUGGAAAUAAAUGAAGAAAAUCAGAAAUGAGAACUGAAAAUAAGAAUAUAAACAGAAGAACUAUAUCAACAAAAAAUAAAAGAUUAAGCAACUUUGCAAAGUUGGUAAAUUCUUCUGUUAAAUUUGAUCGUGAAAAUUUUCUAGAAUGAGUGCUAGCUAGAAUUAGAUGCGAAGAUGACUCAGUGGUUAGGAUCGUUGGCUACAGACCCAAGGGUCUGUGGUUCGAGUCCUGUUACGACCAAACUUUCCCACUGAUUGAGGAGAGUCGCCAUGCUUAGGAAUCACGAAGUGUUGUGACACCGAGAAGAAGGACCAGAACACUCCUCGAUAAGCAUAGCUUUACAGUGUCUUGAAAAGUACCUUCUGAAGCCAAGUAAACAAAACUUACAAAAACAACUCUACGAAGGCAUCGUUUCUUAUAUUUUAAAAAAAAAUUUUCGAUGAAUUUUCCUUCAAAAGCUUAAACUCUCUCUUUCAGUAAAGUUUUUGAGAGUUUGUCCGUUAACAAAUAAAACCUUGCGAGCCAGGUUUAGGCCCAAGAAAACGAAAGUUCUUUAUUUUGCUUUGACAACAAGUUAUUCUAGACCACGUACGUACAAUGGUUAAUAGCUAGCGAAUUUUUAAAGAACUGUUAUUCGUACAGCGUAAUGUACAACGUACAGAUAUCAAUUAUAUAAAUAAUAUAACAACGAUUUACAACAAAAUAGCGGCAAAAUGGUGAAUACCUUAUAUUGAUAAUAAAGUGAAGUUUGUUUAGAGAAGAAAGGUGCUACAUUAAAAAAAUACAAAAAAGAUUACUUUUGUAUAAAAAUCAUUGCAUAAAAAUAAAAAGGAAUAUAAUUUUUGUGUAAGCCAGGAAGUACAGCCUGCUAACUCUGAAACAAUGUGCCAAUAAUGCAAAAUACACUUAUUAAAAAGAAAUAUAGAAUGAUGUAGAAAUUUGUAAAAACACGAGUCUCAACAUUGGUCAAAACUUAAGGACAAAUUAAAAAUAAAAAAAGGUACCGUAAAAUGUAAUUUUGAACAAUGUUUAAUCUCAAGAACGAGGCGUUUUUCGGUAAUCCAGGGGCGCUUUGCCAUCCAGGGGCGCUUUUCGGUAAAUUUUCAAACUUGACGGUAAAAGUCUAACUGACUUUGUUGGCAAACGAGCAUCCGUGCCCUGAACACCUCCUUAGAGCGCAAUAGUAAGCAAUUGCACUGUUUACACUCUAGUAAUCUAGUAUCAAAUUAAGAACAACCCAGCCUCAAAUUUUCGAAAAAUUAUGCACAGCCCGCCUGAUCUUCAAUUUACUGGUUCUUAAGCCUGAUUUACACGAGACGAAUUUUUUCGUGCGAAGCGAAUUUUUCGCCGCGAAUGCGCGAAAAAUAUGCGCAGAAGUGGAGAUUAGAAAAUUCGCAGCAAAUUCGCAGCGAAUAAUUCGCUGCGAAAAAGUAGAAACCAUUCCUACUUUUUCGCUGCGAAUUUUUUCGCCUUGUAAAAUAAACCAAUCAGAACAGCAAUUGAAGACAUCUGACACGAACCCAAAGGAAGGGCUAGGCCGAAUGGUGCUACGCAAUGUAAACAUAUCUAAAUCAAAAGUAUGCAAAACGACAGAAAACUACGCAAUGGUUCAAACAACAACAUGGGUGAAGAAUGAGUAACCUAUGACUAGGCCUAAGCAAUGCUGGGAAUAUCCCGCACCUAUAACAUAAACAAUGGAAUGGGACGUUUCUAGCAACAGGCGUCUUUGGUGCAAUAAACGAUAAAAGCUCCUGAUAUGUAGUUGGCGACUUUCGAAAGUAAUUAUUCCUGACAAUGUAAGCGUAAGUCACUUACCAAAAGAUGAAACUCCCCCUUCUGUAGACGUUCUGAAUAAAUUUUUCGAACCAAGUACCCCUUUCUUAGCUUUUUUGCUCGCUUUUUUUAAUAACAACAAUCUUCGAACAGACGCCAUUUUCUUUUGCAUUAUUCGCGGCGAAUUCGCAAAAGAAAUUCUGCCAGUGGAAAUUAAACUUCGAAUUCGCAGCGAAUUCGCAGGCGAAAAAUUCGUGGCGAAAAAUUCGCUUCGCGCGAAAAAUUCGUCUCGUGUAAAUCAGGCUUUAUAAAUAAAGAGUGUAUACUAGAUGCGAUCGAUAGCUUUUGAGUAUCGAGUUCACUUUACUCUCAUCAAAUCAUUCACCAGAGGAGAGGACCAAACAUGUCUAGCAUACGCUAGAAGAUCACCAGUAGAACCCGCUUAGCGAGAACGAUUCUUGGAAAAGAUUGCGAUUGGACGAUAGCUGGAGGGUUCAGAUGUCCCCCUUAUAAGGAACACGGGCUUGUUACUGGAAAUACAUCUAAAAACUGUUGCGAGUUCUAACUUCUAAGGACAAUUACUGGUUUACCACAAGGAACUGUAGAUCUAGAGGUGUUUAGUAGGAGAAGAGCUUUGCAAACUUUUCGGGUGGAAAACUUGAUUGGUCACUUUGAUAGAGAAAUAGAGAGUAAUGACAAGGUUAUAAGCCUUGAUCAUUAGGAUUUAGAAAUGGUGGCAAAGGUUAAUGCGAAGAGGUUGGGCCUUUAUGAUUAAUUGCUGGAAGAGGAUUCAUUUUCCAUUCUCAAACGAGAAAAGGAUGAUCUGCAAAGGCAUAGAAGGAAGAGAAGAUGCAGCGGCGGAAAUUAUGGGGGUAUGGGGGGCUCGAGCCCCCCCAAUCGGCGAUGUCGCCGGAAAAUUCGGGCUUUCGUAGCGAGCCGAAAUUACUCCAAGAAAUCGUUCUGAAAUGUAUUUCAAGCUAAUCUUAAAAGCGUAAUUGUCAAAUUUUCUGCUCGCUUCGCUCGCAGGUGAUCCGCAUUUUCCCUUUUUACCCCAACGGCUUGUAUAACCCCUCUGUGCCCUUUUUGCAAAAUUUGAACAUAGCUUCGCUAAUAAAAUAUUAGCCACUACUUAAUAAUCAAACAAACAAUAUUGAACAAAAAUUACAGCUACUUUGAAUUGUAUGUUUAAUUUCAAUUCCGUAAAGAUUAGCCGAAAUUACCAUCGGAUUCUUUCAAGUUAUUUUCAAACGUAUUUCCCACUGAAGAAAACAAGAUAAAAUGCAGAAAAUGAACGUUACGUUGUUAUAAUGAACGACUUGUUAAAAGUGUAAUCGGUCAACCUCUUGUAUCAUCAAUUGCCUUAGAUAAGAUAUAUCGUUCUUGAUAUCAAAACCAUAAAUCGAAUGGUCAGCAAAGAUUUCUAAAGGGUCCCGCCACAAAAUGACCUAUUUUCAUCAAAGUUUGCAGUUUCUUUAAAAUUGGACAUGAUACGAGAUGUUAUCUUAUCGGAAAAAUUCUAAGCCUGGGCCACCCCAGAUGUAAGCUCGCAUUUUCGACAUUGAGAAGGUGCAGAAAGAGCUCCUGUCAGCUUUGGUGUAAUGGAAAACUUUGUGGUUCACUCUGAAAGUACAAUUAUGGGGAAAAGAACGUAAAUGUUGUGAAGUUAUUGGUCUGUGGUCAUAGUUGCCAGUAGGUGCAUCUAUCAGAGGAAUUGUGUAAAUGUUGGGUUUUGUAGCCUGAAACAGGGCAAGGUUAUUCACUUUGUCCCCUGCAUGAUCAGGAAUGCAGGCACGGAUAUCAUCUGGAAUGGCAAAGGCCUCUGCAUCAAAUAAUAUGUUUAUCCAGGCACUGCUACCAGAGAAAAAAUACCCUCUCUUCAGAUGCUGCUACCUUCCCUAGCUCAGCAGAAAUAGUUGUUGCUGGUGCAGGGGUAAUUGGAUCAUCUGUGGCAUAUCAUCUAGCAAAGUAUGGGAAGAAAG